AUAGGUCUUGGGUGGGACUCUAAAGUAGACCCUGCCAGAUGGGUAAAUUGACCUCAACAGGAAGGUUCUGAGGGGAUGCUUUGAUUGACAGCAUACUUACAAUUCAAAAAUGGGAGAGGAAAAGUUCAAGAAAACAUGGUGUACUUUGAAAAGAACAGCUAUUAGUUCUUUCAGAAGACCAGUCAGUGAGGCGCUGACGGGGACUACCUCAAAGAGAAGAUGUAUGCAGCCUAAAUCUACAGCCUGAGGCUUCUCUGAAGGACAAGUGGGUUUGAAGCUGCUGCUGCCGCCGCUGCUGCCUGCCGC